UACGUAGGGUGCAAGCGUUAAUCGGAAUUACUGGGCGUAAAGCGUGCGCAGGCGGUUGUGCAAGACCGAUGUGAAAUCCCCGGGCUUAACCUGGGAAUGGCAUUGGUGACUGCACGGCUAGAGUGUGUCAGAGGGGGGUAGAAUUCCACGUGUAGCAGUGAAAUGCGUAGAGAUGUGGAGGAAUAUCGAUGGCGAAGGCAGCCCCCUGGGAUAACACUGACGCUCAUGCACGAAAGCGUGGGGAGCAAACAGG
rnacentral:rRNA from 1 species